rnacentral:rRNA from 1 species
UGCUCAGUAACACGUAGUCACCUCACCCUGGAGACAAGGACAAGCGCCCACAACCACGUACUAAUCCAUGAUAGGUCAUGUCAUAGGAAGGAGAGAUGGCUUAAAGCGGUACGCGGGCUUCUUCCGUGCAUCCGCUCCAGGAUGGGACUGCGUCCGAUCAGGCUGUUGGCGGGGUAAUGGCCCACCAAACCUGUAACCAGUACGGGCCUUGAGAGAGGGGGCCCGGAGAUGGACACUGAGAGAAGGGUCCAGGUCCUACGGGGCGCAGCAGGCGCGAAACCUUCGCAAUGCGCGAAAGCGUGACGAGGUUAAUCCGAGUGGUUCCCGCUGAGGGAAUCUUUUGUCGGCUCUAAAAAGGCCGGCGAAUAAGGGGAGGGCAAGUCUGGUGUCAGCCGCCGCGGUAAUACCAGCUCCUCGAGUGGUCGGGGCGAUUAUUGGGCCUAAAGCAUCCGUAGCCGGUUCUGUAGGUCCUCUGUUAAAUCCAACGGCUUAACCGUUGGCCCGCAGAGGAUACCGCAGGACUAGGAGGCGGGAGAGGCAGACGGUACUCAACGUGUAGGGGUAAAAUCCUUUGAUCCG